AUCACCUGGGGAUCUUGUUAAAAUGUUGAUUCUGGUUCACAGAGCUGGGUGGGGCCUGGGGUUCUGCAUUUCUAACAAGGUCAGAAGAGAUGC
rnacentral:pre_miRNA from 1 species